rnacentral:rRNA from 1 species
UGAGGAAUAUUGGUCAAUGGGCGAGAGCCUGAACCAGCCAAGUCGCGUGAAGGAUGACUGUCUUAUGGAUUGUAAACUUCUUUUAUACGGGAAUAACAAGAGUCACGAGUGACUCCCUGCAUGUACCGUAUGAAUAAGCAUCGGCUAACUCCGUGCCAGCAGCCGCGGUAAUACGGAGGAUGCGAGCGUUAUCCGGAUUUAUUGGGUUUAAAGGGUGCGUAGGCGGCCUGUUAAGUCAGCGGUGAAAUCUAGGAGCUUAACUCCUAAAUUGCCAUUGAUACUGGCGGGCUUGAGUGUAGAUGAGGUAGGCGGAAUGCGUGGUGUAGCGGUGGAAUGCAUAGAUAUCACGCAGAACUCCGAUUGCGAAGGCAGCUUACUAAGGUACAACUGACGCUGAAGCACGAAAGCGUGGGUAUCAAACAGGAUUAGAUACCCUGGUAGUCCACGCAGUAAACGAUGAUAACUGGGCGUAUGCGAUAUACAGUAUGCUCCUAAGCGAAAGCGUUAAGUUAUCCACCUGGGGAGUACGCCGGCAACGGUG